UCUUACUCUUAGAUCCCUUCCUUUAAGUCUGGUCCACAGCAGGUCGAUUCGUCAGUCUUCAACAGCUUUCUUUAGUUCUUGCUCCCCGCACCACCAACUAGGGAGUCUUCCCCUAAAACGGACAUUCCUUAGUUGAGUUCUUGCUUCUGAGUUUUCGUCUUCUACUCGCUUAUUAGACUAUUGUUACUACUGUUUGCAAACUGGCAUUUCUGCCUUAAAGCCCUUGCUUGUUAGUGAAAUAAUCUCCAAUUACUACUUUUAGGGCUGAACCAAGAGGGCACCAAACUCAACUCAAAACGGGCAAUCGAACACUGCCCCAACAAGACCGGACAAGUGCAAUAGACAGAAUGGAACUCUGUAAGUAGGAAUACAAUCAUCGGUAACAAGACCGAAACGUUGCUGAGAAGACUGUGAGCCCGGGCACCGAAGCCUGCCUUUAUUUGCUUGAAACCUAAAACGACUUAUUUGCAUUCUGGAAAUGGUGAUUCGGAUCCUUAUUUGUGCGGGUUACUCCUAUAGUUGCUAGUCGCAUUCCUUCCAGUGAGUUAGAACCUGUCUUUCCUCACCUUAAGUCCCCAUUGCCUGUCUAUGAGCCUGCCCACCCUUGCUUUGAACCUGUAGUUAAUGCUUCUCGUACUUAACUACAUAGCUUAGGGUAGUU
rnacentral:lncRNA from 1 species